rnacentral:rRNA from 1 species
ACGAACGCUGGCGGCGUGCUUAACACAUGCAAGUCGAACGGUGAACUCCGCUUGCGGGGGGAUCAGUGGCGAACGGGUGAGUAACACGUGGGCAACCUGCCCUCAGCUCUGGGAUAACUCCAAGAAAUUGGGGCUAAUACCGGAUAUGACCGCUGACCGCAUGGUCUGGUGGUGGAAAGAUUUAUCGGCUGGGGAUGGGCCCGCGGCCUAUCAGCUUGUUGGUGGGGUAGUGGCCUACCAAGGCGACGACGGGUAGCCGGCCUGAGAGGGUGACCGGCCACACUGGGACUGAGACACGGCCCAGACUCCUACGGGAGGCAGCAGUGGGGAAUAUUGCGCAAUGGGCGAAAGCCUGACGCAGCGACGCCGCGUGAGGGAUGACGGCCUUCGGGUUGUAAACCUCUUUCAGCAGGGACGAAGCGAAAGUGACGGUACCUGCAGAAGAAGCACCGGCCAACUACGUG